rnacentral:rRNA from 1 species
GAUGAACGCUGGCGGCGUGCUUAACACAUGCAAGUCGAACGUGAGAAUAGCAAUAUUUGAAAGUGGCAAACGGGUGAGUAACACGUGGGAACCUGCCUCGAAGUGGGGGAUAACGAUUGGAAACGGUCGCUAAUACCGCACGGUUCUGCUCUGAUGGGAAUGGAGCAGAUAAAGAUUUAUCGCUUUGAGAGGGGCCCGCGGCCGAUUAGCUAGUUGGUAAGGUAAAGGCUUACCAAGGCGAUUAUCGGUAGCUGGUCUGAGAGGACGAUCAGCCACACGGGAACUGAGACACGGUCCCGACUCCUACGGGGGGCGAGCAGUGAGGAAUAUUGGGCAAUGGGCGAAAGCCUGACCCAGCAACGCCGCGUGGAGGAUGAAGGCUUUAGGGUUGUAAAGUUCUUUCAGUAGGGAAGAUAAUGACGGUACCUACAAAAGAAGCUCCGGCUAACUUCGUG